GAUGAACGCUGGCGGCGUGCUUAACACAUGCAAGUCGAACGGAGCUUUGAGGAAGUGCUUGCACAGAAUUAAAGCUUAGUGGCGGACGGGUGAGUAACGCGUGAGGAACCUGCCUUUCACAGUGGAAUAACAACGGGAAACCGUUGCUAAUGGCGCAUGACAUCGCAUUGAGGCAUCUCAGAGCGAUUAAAGGAGAAAUCCGGUGAAAGAUGGACUCGCGUCCGAUUAGCUAGUUGGUGAGGUAACGGCUCACCAAGGCGACGAUCGGUAGCCGAACUGAGAGGUUGAUCGGCCACAUUGGGACUGAGACACGGCCCAGACUCCUACGGGAGGCAGCAGUGGGGAAUAUUGGGCAAUGGGCGAAAGCCUGACCCAGCAACGCCGCGUGAAGUACGAAGGCCUUCGGGUUGUAAACUUCUUUGAUCAGGGAAGAAACAAAUGACGUACCUGAAAAACAAGCCACGCA
rnacentral:rRNA from 1 species